rnacentral:lncRNA from 10 species
AAAUAGAAAGGCACGAUUGGACCUAAAACUCUAAGACGAGCUGGAAGACACGGAAAGCACGUAGGAGAGACACCGGUUUCAUUGCAGUUGGUUUCAAUAUCAAACGGCCUCACCUUUGCUUGUUACACAAUGAUAUCCUACCACUGGCGGGAAGACUAAAAACCAGCAAUGAUGUGUGUGGUUCAACAGCUCCUAAAGCUGUUUACUUGAAGUAACAAUACUUUCCACUGUGCAUUGUAUUGACUUGUGGUAAGCCCAGUCAUCUUUCUCUGGACGGAGAUUAGAAGUCUGCUGCCAGGCAUCUGGGGUGCCAGACCUGGGCUCCCUCUAGUUUCUUCAAUUGCAAUGGUCAUAUUUAUUUUCCUUGGAUGCUGAAAAUGUUUAAGAGACUCACCUGCCUCUUACACCAAAUUGUAACUCAACUUAUCUGAAUAAUUGGUGACUUCACAUUUGUCAUUAAAUGCUUUCUUAACUUCUCUUACCCUUCUCAUUUAUCCCUAUUUGUUAAGAUCAUCUUGCAGCACUAACACUUAGGAGUCCCAUUAGUUCUUUUCCUUCAUGCCCUGUGCUUUAGGACCAAUCCAGCCAAUCACAGAUCCCACCUCCUGUUAUUUUAAUUUGCAAUUUAAAAAAUUCUGAGUAAAACUGAGAAUCUAAAUAUAUUUAUUGGCCAUUUGUAUCUACUUCUUUGUAAAUUGCUAGUUUUCUUUUUUAUUGAUUUGUUUGAGCUUUUAUUAGUUAAAAUAAUAGAACUUUGUGAAAAGAUGAAUUAUUUUUUCCCUGGAUUGACUCUCCUUAGACUUCUAAACAUUACAGUGUGUACUUGUUAUCCAGAAUAUUUUUAGUCACAUAUAUCUAACAUUUUCUAGUAUGUGAAUUUUGUGUUUAUUAGGAAGAUCUACUCACAGCUCUCACUGUCUUUUUAUGCCUACGGUGUUCACUUCACUUCAAGCCCAUGCCACUGUAUGCCUAUAUAACUACUCAUUUCUGGAAUGGCCCUGCAAACUCGUAUCUCUUCUCCUCUUUGCGCAUGGUUGCCAGUCCAAACUGCCUUAAGACAAACAAACAAACAAACAAAAAUCCAACUAAUGAUUUAAUGCAUUCAGGUUUCAAAGCAUGUUCUUCCAUUAUUUUUAUAAUGCAGCUUUUCCUACCUGAAUGUAUACUCAAGAGAUUCAGAAUGUCCCAAGUGGAGGAGGUUUCUUUGGGAAGCCAAAGGUAGUGUAUGGACUGUAACUGGGGGCCUGUGAUUGAAUUGCCUCUUUCAGUUCCACCAUAUGGCCACCACCAUCUCAUAAUUUCCCUUCUCAGAAAAGGUACAGCUUCAUUAGGAUGGCAAUAUAUACAUAAGGUGUCAUUAAAGAGCCUAUACAAGUCACAGCUAAAAAUAUGUAUGAGAAAAAAUAAAGUUCAAAAUGAUUGCCCAACAAGCAUGAACUGUUCAAAUAAGUUAUAUUGCAUCACUGAAUCAUAUGUGUUAUGCUUUCAAAGAUAAUGUAUUGCCAUAAAGAAAUGCUCAUGACACAAUGUCUCAAAAAUGAUAUAAUUGUAGUAGUCAUAUUAGUUCUGAGCCUUCAUUGAAUGCUAUUUACCUAAUUUCCUUUUUUAAAUGUUCACUGCAAAAGCAAGAUAUAAAACUGUUCAAACUGGGAAUUUUUUGACUUGUCUGCAUUUUUUCUAAGUUUAGUAAAUGAGCCCUAUAUUAGUUUAUUAGUCAGAAAAUAUUAUUUCAAGAAGCUAAAUAUUAAUUCAAGUCCAAACACAAUGAGGCAUUUCAUUUAUAUCUUGUCAUAGAAAUCUCUUAAGUGCCCUUAAAGGAUCAUUAAACACACCUUUUAUUAUUGUUUGUACACUUCACUGGAAUAUACAUACCCCUUACUGAAAUGUAAGUUUCUUGGGGGAAGAGCCAUGUUUAUGUUUUAAUACGCUGCUCGACACAAUAGGCCUUCACAGAACAUCCAUCGACACAAAUUAUCUCUGUUCAUCCGGAUAGGAAAAGCCUGUUUUCCAAAUUUUCUACAAUCACAUAGGGAGCAAGAAAAAAACAUUUUAAAAGUAAUUUUGCUUGUUUCUAGUGAAAAAUAUCAAGAGGAAAACAGUCAAAUAAGCAAAAUGUGCCCAGAAACUGAGUCCUCUUAUUAACAAUGUGGAUAUUAAUUUAUAGUAUAAAAUAAUACAUAUGCAUAACUUAAAAACUCAGAAUAUCCAAAGUAAAAAGUAACAUCCUUUUUUUAUAACAACCCCCACCAAACUCUAAAUGCAACUAGCAUACAUAAUUUCUUAUGAUUUAUUCCAGAGGCCCU